UGACCUCAAAUCGGGCAGGAUACCCGCUGAACUUAAGCAUAUCAAUAAGCGGAGGA
rnacentral:rRNA from 1 species